AUUUUAGGGCAGGACCAAAGGCGCUGGCUUCCUUAUGAAAAGCUAAUUAAAAGUUGAUCCCAUGUCAGGAACAAACCGUCGCAUCGAGCUGUGUGGGCAAAAUGCUUGCAGAAAUAGAUUAUGCAAGCAUAAGAAUAUCAAGAUGAGUUGAAAAUCCUCCGAGCUUAACAAAGUUACUAAUAAAUUUUAACCGAUCCAUAUAAAACCUUUUAACUGACUUAUAAAUGGGCUCUACUAAAACUGGAGUAGCCAAAGCUAUC